rnacentral:lncRNA from 1 species
UUGAAUGAAAAUCAAGCAAUUACGAUAGGCCAUGGGGUAAAUAUAUUAUAGGAAGCACUUCCUAUAAAGUUAGAUAUGGGUACGAUAUCAAGAAAGUCCUAACCGAAGACAAGGGGAAGGUAGAGAGCAGAAGAAAGACAAGGAGAAGAAGUUCGGCAAUCGGCAAAGAUCUCGUUAUCAACCACCUCCUUUCUCUCAUCUCUGAAAAGGCUCUACUCGCUAAAAGAAGGUACGGGUUUAGCGCAUGGAAGGAUGAUAUACUCUCUGAGAACCUCCUCUGGCCAGAAAACCUAAAAGGCUAAAAUUGAAGAAUAGGAUUCAUUAUAUGACAAUAGAGGAGUAAGUCCAUUGAUACAAGUAUCAACCGAAGCUUAUAUUUGUAACACCAUAUUGGGGUUUAGGAUUUAAAGGAUAAGUUAAACCAAGAGUAAUAUACAUAUUAUAGGAAACAAAAAAGUAAAAAACUCAAUAGAAUGAAUUGAUAUUUGAGAAAUCGAAUUAAUAAGGAGAAAUGGAGAAACCAGAAAUUGCAAUAUGAAUUUAAUACCUGUAACUUUAAAAUCUUUAAAUCGGCAUCUAUGCUCUUUAUCUUUGAUUCAAAACCAGCAACUCUUCCUAUCAUCAUAUUAUAACGAAAUUAGAUUGAGGUUAAGAAUUGUGUGUAAAAAUACAUGAUCUCGCUGUUUAUGUUAUUAAAAUAUAUAUACAUAAACAUAAUUAUAUACAUUUUUUUUGUAAACAGAAUAUUUUCAUUAAUAAUAAUGAAGGGUGAUAUAAAUUAUAAUACCCUGGAAUUACAAAGUAGAAGAGAUGACAAAAUGUGGUGGGGUGGAUAGAGUGGUCUCCCACAACUAUCAACCUUCUCCUAUUAGUCCUAUAUAGCAUUUGCCCUUAGUGAUAUAAUAAUUAAGAACUGCCUCAGGAGGUUGGACUCCCAAACCGUUGCAUUGUAGACUUGUAGUCUCCUCCAUUUGUGAGCCACAAGUCCACAACCUCCUCUUAAAGAUUUCGAGUCUGAAAGAGAGGCUGAAGUCACUAUAUUCAAAAAAUUGCUUUAUACUAAAAUAUAUUAUAAAAUUGUCACAACCUUGCAAGGUUUCAGAUGCUUUGAAUACACAGAUAAAAAUUCACAAGUGAUUGUAAUUUAACAAGAAAUUAAUUAGACAAAUAAUAUGAAAUACGCAUCAAGGUUUUCUAUGCGUCUAUGCGUUCAUGCGAUGACAUUUUAAGCAUAUAAGUAUAUGCGUGCAUAUACGCGCAUAUAUGUAAAUAUGCGACAUGUUAUAUUUACAUGUAUUUUUUAAAAUUACCCCUGAUAUUUCCAUAAUAUAUGAAUAAUAUAAUAUAGCAAAAAGUGUUCCAAUGACCCAAUAAAGUUUAAAAGUCUAAAUAGUAAAUAGAAAUUGCAUAACAAAGUCUAAAACUAUAUAAUUAACAAUAGUCUAAGGCUCUAAGCUCUAAGGGGCUUGCUCAACAUCCUCUUCAACUUCAGCUCUAAGGAACGCUCACCGGAGUUCUACUGCUGGUCAGCCUGGUCCGUUAAUGUCCGACGGAAGGGAGGGGGAAGGGAGGAGGAAACUUAGGGUUAUUUUUCUAUGCGUUUUGGUUUUUUUUUUUUAAAUUUUUAUGGGUAAAACCCUAUUAUCCAACCCGACCCAUUGACCCGACCCGCCCCAGACCCGCAAACGCAUAGAACAUCUAUGCGAGGGUCUGGAAAACCGCAUGGUCGUUUAUGCGGCGCAUAAACGCCGCAUAGAAAACCAGGAUACGCAUUAUAAAACAAGCUGUAAAAACACUUGCUUCAAAAAAUACUCCAAUAUUUUAAAAUUGAAUCUUUUUAUUUAAAUGUGCAAUUCUUUGAAUACCCUAGUCUGGAGACAUUGUAAUUUCAAAAUAGGAUAGUUCAUAUGAGGCAUCAAUAAUAAUGGAUUAUGACUUAUGAUAACCAUAUUUUUUAUUAAAUAAAAGAUUAAAAAAACUGCAAUUUUACUAUACCUGCCAUAGCAGAUAUUUUUGCAAGAUUUAGUAAACGCUUUCUUUCUUCUAAGGUUGUUCUAUUCUUUGGUAAUGUAGGAACUAUGUUAUCAUCCUCAACCAAUGAUAUAGAACCAUCACCACCAAUAUCAUCGAUCAAAAGAGCUAGGUCAUGAAGGGU